rnacentral:rRNA from 1 species
CGGAUUGUAGUCUGCAACUCGACUACAUGAAGCUGGAAUCGCUAGUAAUCGUAGAUCAGCAUGCUACGGUGAAUACGUUCCCGGGUCUUGUACACACCGCCCGUCACACCACGAGAGUUUGUAACACCCGAAGCCGGUGGAGUAACCAUUUUGGAGCUAGCCGUCGAAGGUGGGACAAAUGAUUGGGGUGAAGUCGUAACAAGGUAGCCGUAUCGGAAGGUGCGGCUGGAUCACCUCCUUU